rnacentral:rRNA from 1 species
CUACGGGCUGCUCCAGUGGGGAAUAUUGGACAAUGGGGGAAACCCUGAUCCAGCAAUGCCGCGUAUGUGAAGAAGGCCUGCGGGUUGUAAAGCACUUUCGGUUGGGAGGACUGCUUCUAGCACUAAUAUUGUUGGAAGUUGACGUUACCUUCAGAAGAAGCACCGGCUAACUCCGUGCCAGCAGCCGCGGUAAUACGGAGGGUGCAUGCGUUAAUCGGAAUUACUGGGCGUAAAGCGCGCGUAGGCGGCUAGAUCAGUCGGGUGUGAAAGCCCCGGGCUUAACCUGGGAACUGCAUCCGAUACUGUCUAGCUUGAGUACAGGAGAGGAGAGUGGAAUUCCACAUGUAGCGGUGAAAUGCGUAGAUAUGUGGAGGAACACCAAUGGCGAAGGCAGCUCUCUGGCCUGAUACUGACGCUGAGGUGCGAAAGCGUGGGGAGCAAACAGGAUUAGAUACCCCCGUAGUC